GUUUAUUUAUUAAACAGUCUGAUAUUUAUAGCUUCUUUUUCAUUUUUAUUUUUUUGUUAUAACCUCAAGACCACAUAGAACCAGAUCCAAAACCACAACACUUUGAAAGGUCAAAUCUGGACAAGUUUUAAAAAAUCUUUAAAACCCAGUUUUGAUUUCGGAAAUCUUUUUUAUGAUUCAUGAAAACACACUGAAACAAAAACAUUUCUCAAUGGCUUUGAUUUAGACA